rnacentral:misc_RNA from 1 species
AAGUUGUUGAAGGCCAUAGGCGGUUCCUUGGGUUCAAGAAGACAAUUUUACUGGACAGGGGGCUUUUGGUUGAUCUGAUAGACAGGUUCAACAAUGGAUCACUGAGUUGGGAUGAGUUCUCUUAUGCUGUGAAAGAAUCACAUGCAAAUCGGAUGGGGAACCCAGUAAAUAGGUUGGUGAUUCCAGACAGGCCAAAAGAGGAGGAUUACUUCUAUUCCAACCCAGAAGAGUGCUUACUGUCUUCAGAGGAUCCCUUGGAUCCUUUGAGUAGCACGUGACAAAUAUUUAGGAGAUUGUGAUGUUUAUUCUACCACAGAUCAAAGGUUAGUUCGCUACGCAGGAGUAACAGUGAUAAAGGAAGAUUUUGCAAUGAAGAGGCAAUCAAGAAGAUAAUAUGUGGGUGGUGAACUUGAAGAAAGCCGAAAAUGAUCUAUGGGAGCGUUUUUAGGACGUUGUCAUCGUUAAGUAUAUGCCAAUAAUCCAAUUCAUGUAUAGAAGCUACCCUGCCAUUACAGGGUGAUGUCAAAUCAACAAAAUCGGAUUGUACACAAAGGGAUGCAAAUAUAGAUGUUGUGGUUUACCAGAAAUGUGGCCUCAAUGAAGGUUACUUCAUCAUCCUUCUGCUUUGUACUUUUUUUUUUCCUUGGUUCGUUUAAGAUAUUGUGAGUUUCUAGCAAAUAUCAAAUUUUAGAAAUUUCUGUUCCAGUAUUACUGAAAUGGAUGUUUACCCCUCUCUCUCUCUCUCUCCUUUUUUCUUUCCUUGCAUGAAAUCUCAAUAAUACUUUAAACUUGAACAAUACCCACUUCUGAAGAUACUUUUAAGUCCAUGGCACAACUGAAAUGCAACUAAUGAUUGAAAACAAACCACUAGCAAUUUUGGACACGACCCGCGAA